CGAGGAUCUUCGUCAAUGGGCGAAAGCCUGAACGAGCGAUGCCGCGUGUGCGAUGAAGGCCUUCGGGUUGUAAAGCACAAAAGAGAUGAGAAAGGGCAACUUGAUCGAAUCUCAGUAAGCUCGGGCUAAGUUCGUGCCAGCAGCCGCGGUAAGACGAACCGAGCGAACGUUGUUCGGAAUCACUGGGCUUAAAGGGCGCGUAGGCGGGUGGCUAAGUCUGUGGUGAAAUCCUCCAGCUCAACUGGAGAACUGCCAUGGAUACUGGUCGUCUCGAGGAAGGUAGGGGUACGUGGAACUAUCGGUGGAGCGGUGAAAUGCGUUGAUAUCGAUAGGAACUCCGGUGGCGAAGGCGACGUACUGGACCUUUUCUGACGCUGAGGCGCGAAAGCCAGGGGAGCAAACGGGA
rnacentral:rRNA from 1 species